rnacentral:rRNA from 1 species
ACGCUGGCGGCGUGCCUAAUACAUGCAAGUCGAACGGACAAGUAAGAGCUUGCUCUUAUGAGUUAGUGGCGCACGGGUGAGUAAUGUAUAGCUAAUCUGCCCUACACUAGAGGACAACAGUUGGAAACGACUGCUAAUACUCUAUACUCCUGUCUUACAUAAGUUAGAUAGGGAAAGUUUUUCGGUGUAGGAUGAGGCUAUAUUGUAUCAGCUAGUUGGUGAGGUAAUGGCUCACCAAGGCUAUGACGCAUAACUGGUCUGAGAGGAUGAUCAGUCACACUGGAACUGAGACACGGUCCAGACUCCUACGGGUGGCAGCAGUAGGGAAUAUUGCUCAAUGGGGGAAACCCUGAAGCAGCAACGCCGCGUGGAGGAUGACACUUUUCGGAGCGUAAACUCCUUUUGUUAGGGAAGAACAAUGACGGUACCUAACGAAUAAGCACCGGCUAACUCCGUGCCAGCAGCCGCGGUAAUACGGAGGGUGCAAGCGUUACUCGGAAUCACUGGGCGUAAAGGACGCGUAGGCGGAUUAUCAAGUCUCUUGUGAAAUCCUAUGGCUUAACCAUAGAACUGCUUGGGAAACUGAUAAUCUAGAGUGAGGGAGAGGCAGAUGGAAUUGGUGGUGUAGGGGUAAAAUCCGUAGAGAUCACCAGGAAUACCCAUUGCGAAGGCGAUCUGCUGGAACUCAACUGACGCUAAUGCGUGAAAGCGUGGGGAGCAAACAGGAUUAGAUACCCUGGUAGUCCACGCCCUAAACGAUGUAUACUAGUUGUUGCUAAGCUAGUCUUGGCAGUAAUGCACCUAACGGAUUAAGUAUACCGCCUGGGGAGUACGGUCGCAAGAUUAAAACUCAAAGGAAUAGACGGGGACCCGCACAAGCGGUGGAGCAUGUGGUUUAAUUCGAAGAUACGCGAAGAAC